rnacentral:sRNA from 1 species
ACGGGCACGGACGCCCGUGGGUCCACGCAGAAUCGACGUUUUAAAAGCACAACCGCUUUCAAGUGCUUUUAAAACUCGCAGGUAUAAUUUUGCCAUGGACGGCAAAAUUAUGCCGUGC